GAUGAACGCUGGCGGCGUGCUUAACACAUGCAAGUCGAGCGAGAAGUUUUGAAAAGAUUCUUCGGAUGAAAUUUAAAAUGGAAAGCGGCGGACGGGUGAGUAACGCGUAGGCAACCUGCCCCAUACAAAGGGAUAGCAUUUGGAAACGAAUAUUAACACCUUAUGAAACUUAACUAGUGCAUGCUAGGUAGGUCAAAGAUUUAUCGGUAUGGGAUGGGCCUGCGUCUGAUUAGCUAGUUGGUGAGGUAACGGCUCACCAAGGCGACGAUCAGUAGCCGACCUGAGAGGGUGAACGGCCACAUUGGAACUGAGACACGGUCCAAACUCCUACGGGAGGCAGCAGUGGGGAAUAUUGCACAAUGGGGGAAACCCUGAUGCAGCAACGCCGCGUGAACGAUGAAGGCCUUUGGGUCGUAAAGUUCUGUUCUAGGUGAUGAAAACUGACAGUAACCUAGGAGAAAGCCCCGGCUAACUCCGUG
rnacentral:rRNA from 1 species